UAGAGAGGAGUAGUACUAUGAGAUUUGAGAGGCUAAAUCUGAGAGUCUGUGGUUACAGCAGUAUGAUUAAUAGAAAAAAAAUUUUAUGAGGAUCAAAAUUAGACUUGGGCUAAUUGAAUCUAUUAUAUGACUGAUGAUGAGGUUUGACGAUUUAUCCAUGACCUACCAUCCAGUCAGGACUCACAAUAGAGGGACUGAAUCAUAUAUGAACUAUAUUUUGAGAUUUUUUUUAAUUCUAUCAGAUUGCUACUACAUACUGCUAGG
rnacentral:lncRNA from 1 species